rnacentral:misc_RNA from 1 species
AAGUCGUAACAAGGUUUCCGUAGGUGAACCUGCGGAAGGAUCAUUAACAAAUCUAUGAGCGAAAGCUCAUCAACCUUUGUGAAUUGGGUUGUGUAGUUGGCAACAAUUAUGCAACUUCGUUGGGGUCCCUUUGUGAUAGAGAGAUUAUUUCGAAAGAUUUAAUUUUUCUAUUGCUUAUUAACAUUGUCUGAUUAUAGAUUGAAGUCGUAAGAUUUCAAAUAAAAAUACAACUUUUAACAAUGGAUCUCUAGGCUCUU